UACAGAGGUCUCAAGCGUUGUUCGGAUUCAUUGGGCGUAAAGGGUGCGUAGGCGGCGCGGUAAGUCGGGUGUGAAAUUUCGAGGCUUAACUUCGAAACUGCAUUUGAUACUGCCGUGCUUGAGGACUGGAGAGGAGACUGGAAUUUACGGUGUAGCGGUGAAAUGCGUAGAUAUCGUAAGGAAGACCAGUGGCGAAGGCGGGUCUCUGGACAGUUCCUGACGCUGAGGCACGAAGGCCAGGGGAGCAAACGGG
rnacentral:rRNA from 1 species